UAUGGAGCUUCAAACACUUAAAUUAAUUAUGUAACCAUCCAUUUCCCAGGAAAUAAACAAAAUAUACAACACUUCUAAUUUAACUGUUUUUGGUUGGGGUGACCAAGGGGAAAAACAAAUCCCCCUCAUCGAUUGAGUACUAAGUACUUAAAAAUUAGAAUGACAAUUCUAAUUAAUAAAACAUUUACCGAAAAAUGAUCCAGGAUUUCCUGAUCAAUGAACCAAGUUACCCUA
rnacentral:rRNA from 1 species